rfam:Gasterosteus aculeatus cont1.014744, whole genome shotgun sequence.
GGUUCCAUGGUUGUAGUGGUCAGCACUCUGGACUUUGAAUCCAGUAAUCCGAGUUCAAGUCUCUGUGGAACCU